CUUGACACCGCUCUUUACACCAUUAAUGCGUCUACGUAAUAUUGAUGAGAAGAACUUGUGUCACCGUAUAUAUCGUCAAUAUUUUCAGGUUUGCAUGUAAAUGUUCAUGGAAAAGUGACAGCCAUGUAUCUGAACCUUGUACUUAGAUCAGCUGCACUACGUGGUCCUCAGAAGUUACAAGCAUCAGUAUGCACAUUUUACCACCAUGCAUUGCUACAUAAACGGCGAGAGAAUAACACCAGAUCAAAUAUUUUACAAAACCAAGAUUGGAAACUUUGUGAAAAAACAAACUUGAUUACCUUUUUGGACGUUAGUUUUUACUCAACUGGCAAUAAAGCCUCAACUGUUGGAAGUAAGGGUGAUGACAAAUCGGACAACACAACAGCAGAUGACAGAAAAGAUGAAGUUCCAAAAUCUGAAACAUACAGAAUUAUUUACAGUUACCCUGGAAUCAAAAGUUUGGAAUUCAUUCAAAAAAUGAGAAGGUUCCAAAUUGUUAUUGUGACAAUUGGAAUCCCUGUAAUGAUUUUCUCAGGUCUUCCUGUGGUUGCUUUUAUGUUUUCAGCGGCAUUAUUUGGUUUUUCGACUAAUGCCAUAUGGCUUUCAGCAAACAAAGCUGAGUGCAUUAUUGCAAGAAUGUAUGUUGAUGACGAAAAUGAAAAAGUUAAACUGUCAUUUGUUGACAGAAAGUGGAAACGACUUGAUGUGUACAAAAAUAAGGCUGAUAUAAUCCCUGUUACAGAAAUUUCAGACAAUGCACCUGGUAAGAAAUAUUUUGUCAUAGAAACUAAGCAAAAAGAUGUUUAUUUUUUGCCGUAUUUAACAUGUACUGAUGAGGAACGUGAUGAGCUUAAGAAAGUGAUUGGGGACUUCUCGUCACUGCUUAAAAAGUAACACAUACUUAGAGAAAAGAAGGGUUUUGAAUAUAAUCUAUUUAAAUAACCAUAUAUAUUUGUCAAUAAUAAAUAAUAUGAAUAAAC